rnacentral:rRNA from 1 species
CUACGGGAGGCUGCAGUGGGGAAUAUUGGACAAUGGGGGCAACCCUGAUCCAGCAAUUCCGCGUGGAUGAUGAAGGUUUUCGGAUCGUAAAGUCCUUUUAGUUGGGAAGAUAGUGACGGUACCAACAGAAAAAGCACCGGCUAAUUACGUGCCAGCAGCCGCGGUAAGACGUAAGGUGCAAGCGUUAUCCGGAAUUACUAGGCGUAAAGGGCAUCUAGGCGGCUAUAUAAGUCAGAGGUGAAAAGUCUGGGCUCAACCGAGGCCUUGCCUUUGAUACUGUAUAGCUAGAGUACGGGAGAGGAGGGCGGAACUACAAGUGUAGAGGUGAAAUUCGUAGAUAUUUGUAGGAAUGCCGAUUACGAAGGUAGCUCUCUGGACCGAUACUGACGCUAAAGUGCGAAAGCUAGGGGAGCAAACAGGAUUAGAUACCCUCGUAGUC